rnacentral:rRNA from 1 species
UGGGGAAUAUUUGACAAUGGGCGAACGCCUGAUCCAGCCAUGCCGCGUGUGUGAAGAAGGUCUUCGGAUUGUAAAGCACUUUAAGUUGGGAGGAAGGGCAGUAAGCGAAUACCUUGCUGUUUUGACGUUACCGACAGAAUAAGCACCGGCUAACUCUGUGCCAGCAGCCGCGGUAAUACAGAGGGUGCAAGCGUUAAUCGGAAUUACUGGGCGUAAAGCGCGCGUAGGUGGUUCGUUAAGUUGAAUGUGAAAGCCCCGGGCUCAACCUGGGAACUGCAUCCAAAACUGGCGAGCUAGAGUAGGGCAGAGGGUGGUGGAAUUUCCUGUGUAGCGGUGAAAUGCGUAGAUAUAGGAAGGAACACCAGUGGCGAAGGCGACCACCUGGGCUCAUACUGACACUGAGGUGCGAAAGCGUGGGGAGCAAACAGG